rnacentral:lncRNA from 1 species
UCAGGCAGCACUGCUCCGUGCACCGUCCCACCCACCAAUGCACAAAGGAAAAAUAAUGCUUUUGCAGCAUUGCCAAAUGGCCACCAGAGGAUUUAAUUUGUCAAUAAGCUGCACGAAUGCCCAGGCCACCUCCAUCUGCUGCUGUGACAGAACACAAUUAACAGGAAAAUCCCAGGUACUUUCCUUCACUAAUUUUUCAAAUCUGUUUCUGGUGAACUUGGAAAAAAUUGCAUAAGAAACCUGGCUUUGAACCUGAUGCUUAUGUUUAUUGCUUGGUUGCUUUGGUCUCAGUGGAGGAUGCAAGUGAGUGGUAGGAGCAGGGCAGGAAGAACAGCACGGAGAAAUGCCAGGAGAUGAGUCUGAGCAGAAUUCAAGACAGCAAAAUGCUCAGAGUGGGAGGAGAAGGGGGUGAGGGCCAGAGUGUGGAAACCUGGAUGCUCUUUUGUGCAAAAAGUCCCAAGGCUGUUGUAUCUUGGGGACCUCGUGGUUACAGCAUGGUUGCUUAUCGCUGUGAAUGGCAGAUUUCAGGGAUGUCCCAGGAAGACCUUUCCAUCUGACAUUCAGUUCAGCAGAAAAGAGAGCCAGGUUUGUAUGUUAUCUAAUUACACACAGGUCCACGUGCCUUGGUGUGCGCAGCACUGCUUGCUCUGGGUCAGGUUUGGCAAAGUGUGUGCUCUGUGCUCGUAGCACUGCUGUGUGGCUGAGUGAGCUCAGUCACAGGGUGACAGCCGUAGCCUCGGAUUCCCUUCCUCUCCCUUUCCUUUGCAAAACUUCAAAAACAAAUAAGCAAAACCACCCAGACCAGAUUGAAACUACCUGAAAACUGCUCUAGAUAUUCUUUUUACUAACUGAAAUCUGAGAAUAUCCAUGGGUGUGCUGGGCAAGGUAAGGUUCUCUGGGCUUAAUGAUCCUGAUCAUCAGUUUGUUGGGGCGUACAGCUGGAGUUAUCUUAAUAACUGGAGCAGCACACGCUCUGAUGCAUUUAACCCCCAGCUGCAAUCAGGAACAAGAGCUCUCUCCCCCAGCUGCUGACAAACACCUCCCUGAGACUUAUUUCCCCUUGUGCUCCCAGAGCUGCAGGUUGGCAGUGGGUCUGGUGGCAUGGAACAUGCCCAUCUCCCAUUGAAAAUACAGCCAGCGCCUUCGCAUGGUGAAACCAUGCUGAAAUAACCUACUUGCUCAAUAACACUCCCAGUGUCCCUACUCACUCCUACCGGUGGCUGAAAUGCUGGGUGGAUGUCAUGAUGAUCUUCUGGCAACCCCCAAUGGAAGAAAUAGAACACCAAUUUAAAACACAAAGAAAAGGCUCAAGGAAUCUAUCAUUAUUAAUCCCACUGUCAGUUUUAAUUUGGGGGACAUUACCUCACUCAACACUCAUUGGAAAGAGCUGCCAAAAAUGAUGAUGUCAUCAUCACCAGACACAUCUGACCCUGGCUGCUGAUUGCCAGUGUUGAGUGCAAGUUAAUAAAUCCCCUGGUACCUGGACACACAUUGGGGUUUUAUUACAAUGCAGGCAUUCCAUGAUACGCUGGUAAUUAAACAGUCUGGGGCGGAAAGAAACCAAGCCACUGCUUUCUCCUAUUUAGAAAAACUGUAAAAUAUAAUUGUCUUUCAGAUCAGCUUCCUUCAACUGUCAUGUAAAACCUGUAUUUUGAUUGUACCAAACGGGUAGGAGGAAAAGUUGGAGGUAGGCAGAAAUGGGAGAUAAAGUAAGUGGUAGAUCUGAGCUCCUCCCCAAGAGCUGGAACUUCCUAAGCUUGUGCAUCAGGGCAGAAUCCUGACACCUCAAAGGCAGGACAAAACCCUGUCUGAAGUCCUCAUACUGGCCCUCACUAGGAGCAAUAAAUAUUGCUUAUGAGUAGUGGAUCUGCGUUUUGACUCUUAGCCCAUCCCCAGACGUACCCACGAGAUGAGACAGACAGAGUAUUCAUCGUGUUGCCACACUCCCGUGGCAAAAGCAGCAUAACAACUCCCAGAUUUAUAGAGCCCAAUGAAUAAAAGAGCAAUUGAAAUAGACGUCAUAUUGAUGAAGCAAAGUCUUUGAAAACAGGAGUAGAGCCGGGGUCUUUCACACUGGAGAAAGCUUUCAAGUUGUGCUCAUUUGCAGCUGACAUCUGUUUACCUUUAGAGGUCUAUAAAUAAUAUUACCGCUUCUCUUUAUUGACUACUGGUGGUGAUACUUUUCUUCUGUUUACAGACCUUCUCCUCUCUCUUGAUACUGGAGUUUUCUGGCUGAGCAAUUUGACAUCAUCAUCAUCACAGACAUUUCCCCUAUCUCUAUAGCAACGUAUGAUGAUGCCACAAACAGAAGAUUAUGCAAUCUGUGUAGACUCAGAUGGAAGGAGAGGCAGGGCUGGGAGCUGUGAUUUAAACACAAAUGUCUCUAAUAGCAGCAAGGGGAAUACAGAAACUUUUUGGCCAUGGAAAUGGUUUUAGUAUAAACAUUCUCAUCUUCCAAGUUUUGCUCCGGUGGGAAAGUUUCUCCUUAAAGUCCUCUUAUACAUAUGUGUGUUGUAUAUACACGUUCACACACAGAUAUAUUUAUUUAUGUGUAAAAGAAUGCAAUGAUUAUGCAAAUGCACUAUUGUUCCCACCAUUGUGCAGGCAGGGAUGUGCAUGCAUACUGUGCACCAUUGUGCAGGCAGGGAUGCUGCCAGCACCCUAAACAUAACCUCUACAUUUUCGAAGACCUACCGUGCUCUGCUCAUGUCAGGCACAAAAAUGCUGUGGAUCUGCCCAGAUCUCAUGUUCCCUUUUCAGCUGAGGGCUGCUGCAUCAGACCCUACUGAAUGUCUUUUUUUUUCAUGUAUGAUAUAGGAAUGAUUGUGUCCUUGGCUAGGUGGGACCAGCAUCCUCCUCUUUCAGACCCACUCUAUCCUUUCCCUACCAGCUUUGUCCUGCAGUUAAGGCAGAGAAGGAGAAGGGCCAGUUUGAAAUCUCAACCCUCACAAAGACUUUCUAGCUAAGCCUAAGGAAGUGCCUUUGAAACCCUCUCUGUGCCUCAGUUUCUCCUGCAGUAGGACUAAUAAGCCUCAGUUCUUAAAGAAGUGGUGAGAAUAACUCCACUCUAUUUCAAAUGCUCAGACUCUUCAAUAAGGGGAUCCAUGGAGACUUUGAAAAACACACUUAUGGGUGCUUCUUCUAUGUUUAUCUUGUUUUUAUUGAACAUACAAAUGCAUCCUAUCUAGCACACGUCAGAAUCAAUAACUAUGCCUUGUUAGCAGUUUUUCCAUUUAUGGCAUAUUGUCCUGACAUAGCUGUAAAACCUCAAUGAAUAUGGUUUUAAUAACCCAAUGGUAUUUAACGUACAAUCGCUGUCUUAUUAAGUCUAAAUUAAAUCCUUACUUGAGACAUUUAAUUUAAAGUGUGACUGAUCUUUUCCUGGCCUGGAAGGAGAUACUUAAAUGACACUUCUUCCAAUUUGGCCACGUGGCUGAGGGGGUGGGAUUUAAAUUAUAUAUUUUGAUGAUACUACUCAUCUUGUUAAAGCUGAAUUGCAUCAUUUUAUGAACACUCAGAGACGGGAUCAAAUUAAACCCAACUUCCCACCAAGUUAACUCAGCUGAGCUUCAAGCUUAGCACUGUAUUCAAAACACACACACACUGUGACUAUCCACUCAGCAGCAUCUGCUUGGCUUUUCCAAAGGAAAAAAUGAAAUGCACCAUAUUUUUCUACUCAGAGCCUCUUGUGGGGUGCCUUUUGAGUUGACAAAGACAAGGCUUACAUUCUGCUGUGGGCACACUAAUAAAAUAAACCUAAUAAAAUAAACAUUACAUGCAAUAACGAUGCUACUAAAUCUAAGUUCAAUGUGUAGCUAAAGUGUUACCCACAGAUCUAUUUAGAGCAAUGUGCUGGACUUCCUUCCAUCCUUUCCCAACCCAGAGUCACAUAAACAUUCAUUAAAUUGAAAGCAUUGUCAGGGCUAAUGGGAGUUUCCACAAGCAACUUUGGCAUGUGCAAAACUGAGGAGCGUGCAGAGCACACAGAUAGAUGACGUGCCAUGAUUUCUGCAUGCCAAGGCCACCACUGAAGAAGGGCUGGUGUGGGAAGACAACAGAAACCAUCCCAUACUUUGCUGCUGUCCUUUGUGUUUGGGCCACACAACGAUUUUUUUUGUUGGAUGAAUGCAAGUUGUGCAGUUGAAAGUGCACAGGAAAGGAAAGCACCCUUUGGUAUAGGCAGAUAUGGGAUUUUAGAUAUUAGUCUCUGGAAGGCAGCGCAGCCAAGUGACUAUGGCAGUGAAUGGGGAGUGUGGAGAAGGAGGGGCACAGUGCUGUGGGGUGACUUCUCCCCCAUGCUAGGCCCUGGCUCCUUGGGCAGCUGCUGGGAGGACAAGAUGCAGAGCUGCUGGGGCAGCACACCUUCAUUUGAAAGUUACAGUCCUGAAAGGAGGAGAAUGGGCAUUUUCUUUUUAACGUCACUGCCACUAUAGUCUGCAGUGAGGGCAGCAUAACACUUCAAGCUGAAAUAUUCGUAUUCCUAUUAUGUUCUCCAUCCAAGAAUUUAACUGCUAUUUGGUUCAGUUCAGUCUAGAUGAUUGAUUUCUCCUGGAUGCUGUGGUGAGAAUUGUUUUAAUAGUUUACAGAUGGACAAAUGAAACAGGGAGGUGUCCAAUGUUUUGCCCAGCACUGCAAGCUGCGCCAGUGGCAGAAUGAUUGUAUCCCUGCUUGAUCCCUGCCAGGUUUGAUCCUUCUUUUUCCCUUUUGUAAAAUCUGACUUCCUCCCUAGCAUGUGUACACUUUAAUAGCUGAAUCACAGCAGUAGAAAAUGAUGAGACUGAAAACACCGAUGAAGACUGUUCAAAGUGAUAUUUGUUCUUCUUGUUCUACAUCUGGAACUAUUCUUACUCCAAUUAUUCCAUUGCAGAUAUAUUAGUUUGGCACCGUUGUUGUAGCUACUGCAAUAUCUAUUUAUUUAACAGUUUUUCAAAUAAGGCAUUGAAGCUCAAAAGUUUUGAGAGCUUUUCCAGGAUGAAAUAGAAAGGAUGGGAAUGUGCUUGCCCAGAGUGUUUUCUCUAUACCUCUUUGGUCUAUCGUUAAUUAGGAAGGGUUUCAAGUGAUAAAACCCACUUGUAUAUAAGUCAUCCACAUGCUAAAUUAAAGUGGGCAAACUGACAUGGCAGUUAAACCCUCAAAGCCUGAAAUCAAUCAAUUACAAUCUAUGGAAAAUUACUCUGAGCACAUUAACAUCCUUUAAUACACAAACGCAGAUUUAUUUUUACAUCCCUCUGCAUAAUAACUAUGCACAAAUUUUCUGUCCAUCCCAGUUUCAUCCCAACCCAGGCAUCACACUCUCCUCAUUCCACUACUUCAGCUUCACAGGAGUCAAUAGCUCUCCAGGGUGAAGUGGAAGCAAUGGGUCAGGCUGGGAUCUUGCAUGUCCCAGCUCUAGCCAGGCUAGAUGUGGACACUGUGCUCCAGCUCCAUAUCAUUCAAUGCUCUCAGAAUGAGAUUUAAGAAAUCCUACUAAGAAAAGUACUGAGGCUAAUUCAGCUCUUUUGGACAGUGCCAAGCUAUGGAGCAGCUAUAUGAGAGCCUCAGGUGGAGCAGGAGAGGACAGAAAAGGAUGAUGAGUACCUGGAGGCAAGAAGAUUGCUGGUUCCAACCCCAAAGAAUGAGCAUGCAGAGAAGAAAACUGGAUGCAAAAAGUGCUGGAAAGGAGAGCUAGCAGAACAGAUCAGUUGCAGAGCAAUGGGACUUAAUGGUUUCUAGGGGCUAAGGACACAUACCAUCUGUCCUUCUGUGUACCCUUGCAAGUACUCAGCAUUAAUAUCUGAGGGCCUUUUAGUGCCACUGAAGAAUUUAUUCUCACAAUACCACUGGGAGAAAGAGGAUUUGAGAGCUCUUAUUUCAGUAGAAGAAGGAAUUUGAGAAACUGAGCCACAGAGCUAUUGCUUUCCACUUAGCUCCUGUCUAUGGAUUUUGUCAAAAGAUUACAAGACUAGAUAGACGAACUGGGGAGCAUCAUGAAUUUUAUUCUCUGCCUAGGCAUCAGUGCUUCUAGAGGUCUCGAAGUGUAUAUAAUUGUUUCAGAUGAUCUGGGCUAAGUGACCCCAGAUAGAAAGUGCAGUAGGCCAACAAACCAAGGGGUUUGAGGUAUUUUUAAUUGCACUGUCAAAAGCUAACAGUUUGCUGAAGGAGAAAGAAGCCUGGGCUUGUGAAAAGGGGCAGUUCAUUGUGCUGCCAGUGAAGCUCUGAAAUGGGGCUUUCUAUGUUUUCUAUCAAGAAAUUGACCUAAUAAAAAUUGGUCUUUACGCAAAGACGAAAUAUUCUGCGGGAAAAUUCUGACUGCUGAGCAGCCCCCUCCCCCUGGGAAAAUUUAAACAGGACUUCCUGGCUUCCCGAUGGGAAGAUUUUUGCCAAUUUUAUUUUCUGCCUGAAGGCAAAAAACAAAACAACAAAUGUAUGCAAGUUUUCCAACAGCCAGCAGAGCUGGGAGAAGGACAGGAAGGCCGAGUGCCCUGGCUGUCUGCCUCUGCCCAUUGGGUGGGAGAGAAGGGAGGCAAGGGCCCUGGAAGGUCUACCCAAAUGUUUACUGUUAGCUUGAAUUUUAACUUACUGAAAAAUCCAUUAUUUUUUUUUUCCCCGGGGAGUGAUGGAUGCAGAUUUGUUCUUAAAAAAAUAAUAAUUAAAAAACUUCUUGGAAGAAAUUGGCAUUUUCUAGCCUGUUCUCCCAAUGCAACAGAUACAAGAAAGCUGAAAGUACAACUGGGACAGUAUAUUUUGAGCAGAAGUCUGCAAUACCUUAGCAGUUUCACCAGAUAAGCAAUAUUUGAUUAAUAUUGGACAGCAGGAGGAGACAAUAAAGGAUAGUAUGGACAUAUUGGAGAAGCACUCAGAAAAGCCACUCAUGGAUUUGCAAUAUUCCAGCACUGAUUGCCAAUGGUGCAUUAAAAUAUUGCCACAGAAGCAUUUCCCUAGACCUAGUGCAGGAUAAACCGAUGAACAACCCCCUCCUCCCUCAUUCCACACACCUCCUUCUGUGAUAUUUCCACCCAUUUCCUCUGUUUAUUGCCCGUGGCUUGAACAAGGUUCAUUCAAAUGAAUUUAAAGCAGAGAUAAAUAUUGUCAAUUCAAAUCACGGCUUUUCAGUCUGUCCCCAGGGUUGUCCCCAGGGCAAGCAUCCCUUGCUGAAACAGGUCAUACUCCUUCUCUAGAUGAGGCUGUUGAGUCAUGAAGAAAAAGGUGAAGGGUGGCGAAAGAAAGACAAGGAAGGGAAAAAAGUAGUAAGCGAGCAAACAAUUCACAGAGCAAGGAGGACAUUUGAGCUUGUGUUUCUUUUCUCAUUGUAGUUUAUUCCAAAUCCUGCCACAGCCUUCCUGGAGCAGGGGGAAGGGCACUGGCUGAUUUGCAUCUUAUGUUACUGCUGACAGUAGGAGGUCUUAAUUGGGGCACCAAAGAGCAGGUGUAUGCUAACGUUAAUCUUCCCUUUCACCUGUCACUCAUGCAAUGAAUAUGAUCUCUCCCUCUCAUUAGCAGCCCUCUGUCACAUGCCAGAGAGCUUUGGAAGGGUCCCUCUGAAACUUGUGGGGAUUGAUUUUGCUGCCUGCACUGGGUUAUUACUGCUGUACUCUGGACAGCCACUCCCCAGGAGCACAGCCAUGCAGUGGGUGUACAGACAAGCGCUGCUUAAUAGUCUCAAAUCGUAUGUGCCUUGGAAAAAUGAACAUUAAUUCCUCUAUUGGCUUUACAGAUAGUGACUGACUCAUUUUGAAAAUAACACGUUGUGCCUUGAGUGUUGCAGAGAUGACCUUAGGAGGAAAGUUAAUUUAGAAAAGAUACUCAAUUUGGUAUUAUCUCCAAAUGUUGAUUCCUGGAAUCAUUACUCAUAACUUAGUCAGGCAAAACUUCCCUGGAUUUCAAGGGCUCUGGUUGGUGCCAAGAGGAAAUUGGCCUGGGAGAGAAUGAAAUCCUAACUCCAGAAUUUGAACCUCUACCUCUUGCAGUUCAUCUGCCAUAGCAGCAAAGGGCUCACCAGUGCAGAUUAUUAGGAAACAACCAUGAAGAGCCAAAAGGAACCAAACUUUAUUUGUCUUGCCUUCAUGCACUGGAGAGUAAGCACUGCAAACUCUGCAUCUUGGGAGGAACCUGCAGAAAGGACUGCUAUCUCCGUCUGCUGGCUGAGCCUCCUGCGCAGAGAGAAGAAGAAAGGAAAGAUCUCACAAAGAGUUUAUCUGAACUUUAUACAUUCUUCUAGUGCUGCUCUGGAACAAGUUCUGCUUUGGUUCAUUCGGAGGUGAAAUAAACAAAUAAUUAUCUGCCGGGGAAAAAAUUCACGUUUUCAGAGAGCAACGGUUUGUUGGCUGUGAGUGUGAUUUGGGGGGAGAGCAUCAGCUGCAGCCCAUGCUCUGAGUCACAGCUGAGUCCCACGGGAAUCACAGCUGCCUCAGGGCCCCGGUGGCGGUGGAUUUUCUUUGGGAUGAUGAUGAUUUGCCUCUUCUUUUACUUUUAUUGUUCUCAUCGGUUGUUGGGAGGUGGCUUUCUUUAUCACCAGAUUCCUUCCAACAGCAGUAAUACUGUGAUUCAAUAUAAUGGAAACUGAGAAACGAAUGGGGCUGACACAUUAAUAAUGUAAUGCUAACUCAUAAUCUGGUUUUGCUUUACUGAGAUUGGGUCAUGGGCUGAGACUUUUUUUCUGAGAUAAUGAAAGAAAAGGCUCAGCGGUAGUAACCAAUUGCUUGGCUCUUCUGGAGAGCAGACAUCCCUGGCAAAGAGCAGGGAGAAGCACUCCCUUCCAGAUUGUACAUUUGCCCCAGUUUUCAAACGUUAUUUCUCUGAAGAGGAAGUGCCAGCAUGUCCCAGCUACCCACAAUAGAUGACAGUGUGCUGUUGUUUCGGCCUGGGGGUCUCUUCCCCAUUCUUACCCUGCCCUUGUAGCCAGAGCAGGGGCUGGCAGUCAGGAUCAGGCCCACUCUCACCUACUGACGCUUAGCUAGAGAAGAUUCCCCAACAGCCACAUCCUAAAUUUAAUUAUUCUCCUGAUUUGCAAGUGUGUUAUUUGGAUCAAACUUUCCAGGACUAAUCAUGUGUAAAACUGAAGCUAAUUACAUCCUAUAAUGGUCCAAUCUGUGAUAGUGUGAUGAAGUUAAGAGAAAGAAAGUGAGCUCUUUAGCUGUGCAAUUGUCUUCCCCAGGGAUCUGGAGCAAACGUCUCUGUACCUGCCUGCAUCCUUCUUAUAAUACCAAAUACCAAUAGGCAUCUUCAUACUUGUGUGUUGGCUUUAUGCAUGGUCUUUAGUUUAUGGCUCAUGUAUGAUCUUUACUGCCAUAAACCGACCUACACUGGUGAAGAAAGGAUGCAGGAGCCUUUUUGGCUUCUUUCACCUGCAAUUUCAGUAGUCCAGUGUUGGUCUGAGAGCUACUGACCUUACAGAGCACUGUAAAAACACUAUGAGAUAUGGAGGUGGGAACUGCAAACCAGCAGUGCCGUCUGCUCCUGAAGAACCUACAUGAAAGAAGUAAACAUUGCCCAUGAAAAUUUUUGAAAGAAAGGCUUUCUUUUAAAAACUAUUUCAUUUUGCUUUUCUUCAGUGAAAAACUGAAACUUCCAAAUCAAUUCCACAUCAGUGUAUUUUUUUCUUCCAUUUUAUUUUAUUUUAUUUUGGCUCUCCAGUAGAGGGAAACGUGGACCCUUACAAGCAGAACCAAUAUUUGGUUGAAGACAGGGAGAUUAAAAUUUCAGAGGCAACUGCGCUCUAUUUGUAAUUUCUCCACUAGACAACAGAAGACGUUUUACCUUAAAUUCACAACCUUGUGGUCUUUUAUUGAAUUUUAAUAAGAGUGUUCUUUAUUUAACUAGCAUUCUCUAAUCACGUAAUCACCAAAAUUAUACGGAUCCAUCAGAAUCAUAACGCCCAACUAAAGGAACUAUAACCCCACGGUUUGAUAUUAAGUUUAUUUUUGCAGAUUUCUUAUCCCUGGAGAAGCGGGGUGAGGCAGGGCCACAUUCAGUGAGAUACCUCCUGUGCAUAAAGCAAGCAUGUGCUUAACCAUGUCCCUGGGAUGGGAGUCUGCAACCUCUGUUAUUGCAGACUGUGAAUGUGUUGUCUUGAGAUGUACAAGCUGCAAUUAAGAGCUAUUGGAUAAUAACUAUGCCAUGAAAAUGUCCUAAACUAUUAAAGAGCUGAAGAUGAUAGUGUGCUUUUAAUGUUUCACAUAAACCAUUUGGGAUUUGAAGAACUUUCAGCACUCACGAG